rnacentral:tRNA from 1 species
AGGGCUAUAGCUCAGUUGGUAGAGCACCUCGUUUACACGCGCGCCAAUGUUUUUUAUAGCCCUA